GGCAGUAUGGUGUAAAGCCGCACAUGGGGUAUUCUUAUUCCGAUGAAAUUCUCUGACCCCCAAGGUCCUUGUUCGAUUCAAGGCACUGCCA